rnacentral:tRNA from 1 species
GAGGCUAUAGCUCAGUUGGUUAGAGCGUCGGUUUGUGGUUCCGAAGGUCGUGGGUUCGAGACCCAUUAGCCUCCCUCCA